GGAUGUGAGAGGGUGAUCUGGCUGUGACAUCUGUCACCCACUGAUCACCAAGGUUGACUGGGCUGAUUUGGCUGGCUAUGGCGUUGCCCCCUUCCUCCCUCACCACUCCUUGUGCAUCCCUCUCAAAACUGUCCCUGGGUCAGAAAGGACAAACACCCUGAUAGAGGAGGACCAUUUCCUCGAUCAAUGGUAUAUAAGUAAUCACCCUGCUAGAACCUCCAAACAAGUUCUCAAAAGGUACUAUAUGUCUCACACCUUUGGAUAAUGCUCAUCUAUCUCACUACUCUUAUAGGCAUUGUUUCAGAAACCAU
ensembl:misc_RNA 7SK 7SK RNA